rnacentral:tRNA from 1 species
GUCGGGAUAGCUGCAGAUAGAGCAGAGGACUGAA